rnacentral:tRNA from 1 species
GGGGAUUUGGCUCAGUGGCACAGCACCUGCCUGGCAAGCAUGAGGUCAUCCUGAGUUCAAUUCCCA